GCAUUAAUGGGGUAGUGGUAACCUGGGUCGUUGCCAUUAUAUAGUUGGACAACUUGAUCUGCUCGACCCGCCGGGGGUUCGAUUCCCUCUUAAUGCA